ensembl:lncRNA
GAAGAAGAGGAACCGUCAGCUCGCUGAUGCACAGGAGAAGAAACGUUUGAGCUUCACGUUCAAUUGAUUAGAUCUGAUUAUUUCUCAUGGAAAGAAGCACGGACGGGAACUAAAACUGAACUUUUAUUUUUGGAAUCUCUGCACAAACGUUGUGCGACAUUUCAGUGCAACGGACUGAUGAUGAUCGUGUUUACAGAACGCCGUGAACACGUGGAGGGAAACGAGAAGCGAAAGUUCUCCGUCUCAUUCUGUCAGGGUGGAGCCGCCUGAGGCUUACAACACCGUCAGCCAACUCUUCCUCCUCUUCCUCUACUUGUCAGCAGCAGAAAAACAUCCUUCAAUAUCAACAAAAGGCGGAGAGGAAGCAGGUGGAGGAAAAAAAAUCUUUCUGAAUAAAUGUAGGCUUCAUUUCUACUAAAUGUGAAAUGUCAAUCAAAGAAUGUGGCUUUGUGUAGUAAGGAAACUACUGCUGAAAUAUCUUUAUUUUACAGGUGAGUAAAGAGACACAAAUUAAUUAUUUGAUACAGUGAAGUCACGUCAUACUAAUAAAGUUAUUUGAAUCCCCCGAAGAGGAACAAAAUGAUAAAUGGGAAUAAUCAGAAUGUAAUUUGCAGGCUGCUGGUUUGGAGUACUGGCACAGCUUUUUAAAACCAAGUCAAGCACUUUAUUUGAAAUGCAAUGCCUGAGGCACACACACACGCACGCACACACAGCUGGAGGCGAUCCGCUUUAGAGGUUCAGCGUUUCAGCGCAGCAACAAUGAGCUAUUUCAGUACGCAGGAACCAGCGUGUGAAACAGACGGCUUAAGAUGGAGGAGGAGGACUGAAAGAAGCGCGUGAGGUGGGAGAGUCUGACCAAGUGGGAUAGUUACAAACAAAACUAAUAAAACUAAUUAAUAUAAAAGAUAUGUGCAAACCUCAGAGGACCCGUACAGGUACCCUGGGGAACUCCCGGCUCUUUUUCUGAUUGGGUGAAAAACAUUUCAUUUACGACUCUGCCCAAAACGCAGCUGACUCAUUGCAGGGAGUCAGAAGACUAAAGGCUAAAAUGAGGGAGUCCCAGAAACCUUCCUUUUAUCUGUCAGUCUAAAACAAAAAGACAUAAAAUCCAUCAAAUGAAACAAAAUAAAGCAUGAAAUCCUAAGAAUCGAGAUGUCUUGACGUGGGUCCUUUAUAUCAUCUUGUUUAUCAAGCAUACAUCAUGAAUAAGUAACACCCGAGCUCAAAACUAAAAGUGUGAAUAUUUCCUGAAUCUAUUAUGAUAAAAGGUAGUCUUUGUGAAAUUGAGAUACAAUUAAUAAGAAUACUCCUAAAAAGCUCGGUGUAGAUCCUUCAAGCUGGCAAAACACCCCCUCCUACUGGAUGUGAACCUGUUGACCCCGUCAUGGUACAUGGUAAAUCAUUUUGAGGCUUUCUACCACCUCUGCGAACACGAAGCCCGCGCCCUCCCUCUCCAAACACCCGCUCUCAGGCACUUGCGGUUUCUGUCGACUUUGAAACCCAAGAGCUGAAUGGAGCCAUUGUUCUUUGUCCCUUUGGACCGCAGGAUGGAGGAGGAGGGGUGACGGGAGAUCAGAAUCACAGACGCUCUCUCUCUCCCUCUCUGAUCCUCUCUGUGCAGGUUUGGACUUGAACGAACGACGAGGACGAAAAUGAAGAGAUUCAGAAUCACAGAUCCCCUCUGAGCAUCGCUGGUGUUUUCUAACACGCCGCCGGCGUUCUGUGCAGACUAAGUGACAUCACGUGUCCAGUGGGGGGGCGCUGUAGUAACGGAUACUACCUGAACAUCUAGAAAUCUCUUCAGCGUCGCCACCUGUCACUCAUCUCGACGAGACGUUUUGGUUUUCACGCCGUCCUUUCCCCCUUUCAGCGGUUGUCGUAACCGCCGCUUCCUGCUCCGCGGUUAGAAGUCACAACA